UACGAGGGGUGCAAGCGUUGCUCGGAAUCAUUGGGCGUAAAGGGUAGGUAGGUGGUCUUAUUUGUCUGGGGUGAAAGCCUUGAGCUUAACUCAAGAAGUGCCCCGGAAACGGUAAGACUAGAGUCCUGGAGAGGGUCGCGGAAUUCCCGGUGUAGCGGUGAAAUGCGUAGAGAUCGGGAGGAACACCAGAGGCGAAGGCGGCGGCCUGGACAGGUACUGACACUCAACUACGAAAGCGUGGGGAUCAAACAGG
rnacentral:rRNA from 1 species